GUUCUCGCUUCGGCAGUAUGUAUACUAAAAUUGAAACAAUACAGAGAUUAGCAUGGUCCCUUUGCAAGGAUAACAUGCAAAUUCAUGAAGCAUUCCAUAUUUUU